rnacentral:rRNA from 1 species
CCUACGGGAGGCAGCAGUGAGGAAUAUUGGACAAUGGGCGCAAGCCUGAUCCAGCCAUGCCGCGUGCAGGAAGAAGCAUCUAUGGUGUGUAAACUGCUUUUGUACAGGAAGAAACACUCCCUCGUGAGGGAGCUUGACGGUACUGUAAGAAUAAGGACCGGCUAACUCCGUGCCAGCAGCCGCGGUAAUACGGAGGGUCCGAGCGUUAUCCGGAAUCAUUGGGUUUAAAGGGUCCGUAGGCGGUUUAAUAAGUCAGUGGUGAAAUCUGGUCGCUCAACGAUCAAACGGCCAUUGAUACUGUUAGACUUGAAUUAUAAGGAAGUAACUAGAAUAUGUAGUGUAGCGGUGAAAUGCUUAGAUAUUACAUGGAAUACCAAUUGCGAAGGCAGGUUACUACUUAUGGAUUGACGCUGAUGGACGAAAGCGUGGGGAGCGAACAGGAUUAGAUACCCUGGUAGUCCACGCCGUAAACGAUGGAUACUAGCUGUUCGGAGCAAUCUGAGUUGGGNGUAGACGAAGUAGAGUAAGUAUACCACCGUACGGGUAGGUACGGUUCGUCGAAGAAGUAGAAACGUACGAAGUAGUAAGUUAGUACGGACGUAGAGACGUUAGCCGACGGACGACGACGAGGGAGGAGG